GAUGAACGCUGGCGGUGUGCCUUAGACAUGCAAGUCGAACGAAGCACCUUAUAUGGAUCCCUUCGGGGUGAAGAAUUCGGUGACUUAGUGGCGAACGGGUGAGUAACACGUGGGUGACCU
rnacentral:rRNA from 1 species